UCUGGAACCACCUGGACCACUAUGUUACUAACUAAUUCACGACUCAAAAUGGAAAUGGCGGUAUUUUGGAUAUUGUUUAAUCUUGGGUGGGAUGUCUGCAUUCGUCGUGGGAGUUCGUUAGAUCGGGAGGAGAGGUAAGUCGCUCGGCAGUCGACCGCAAGGUGUUGAACGUGCUGCGUGUUUUUAUUGCGCAUCCACUUUGUUACCUACCUAUUCACGAUAUUUACGUUAUUAAAAUGCCUCUAACGCCUGCUGAGAAGCAGCGACGAUACCCGAGAACGCCGUAGAAAUAAUCAAGAAAAAGACGUUAAAAUAAUGUUUUUAAGGCAAUCGACGAUAAUGCAACAAAAUUCAAAUUAAUUAAGUGAUUUAUCCUAUGAGGCUUUUGAUAAUUUACUUGCCGUUGUUCCAGAACCUAAAAAAGUCUGCAAAGGUAAAAGAGUAUACUACCAAUUUCAUAAUCCCUUAGUUAAACUUGAGAAAUAAGUUAUUUCAAAUUUUCAGCUACUCUUCCAAGAAAAUCUAAUUUUUAUUACUAUAAAGAUAAGGAAUCUAUAAGAAAGUAAGCUCUUGAUUGAUAAAUUACAGUCAUAAGUUAAUGUUUUGAUGAAGUGAUUUGGAUCUCAAGCUCAAUAAGUGCAAAUUAUUACAUAUUAUUCAAUAAAAAUAACAACUAUGUUACUGUGUUACAACUCUGUUACUUUUCUGUCCCAAAGAUUAAAGAACAUAGUAAGAUUUUAAAGAAAAGCUAGUCAAUAUAAUAUAGCAAAUAUCGCGAUGCGUUAAUUUAUUAGAUAUUUUUACAGUAUUAUGUUCCAGUUAGCUGCUGAUAAAUAGAUAUUUGGAGGACUUAAGUAGAAUUUAAGGUAUUUUAAUAU